rnacentral:rRNA from 1 species
AGAGUUUGAUCAUGGCUCAGAUUGAACGCUGGCGGCACGCCUAACACAUGCAAGUCGAGCGGUAACAUGAUUAGUAGCAAUACUAAUUGAUGACGAGCGGCGGACGGGUGAGGAACACGUAGGAACUUGCCUAUCAGAGGGGGACAACCAAGGGAAACUUUGGCUAAUACCGCAUAUACUCGCGAGAGGAAAGUUGCCCGCAAGGGUGAUACUGAUAGAGAGGCCUGCGUCCGAUUAGCUAGUUGGUGAGGUAAAGGCUUACCAAGGCGAUGAUCGGUAACUGGUCUGAGAGGACGACCAGUCACACUGGGACUGAGACACGGCCCAGACUCCUACGGGAGGCAGCAGUGGGGAAUCUUGGACAAUGGGGGCAACCCUGAUCCAGCGAUGCCGCGUGGGUGAAGAAGGCCUUCGGGUUGUAAAGCCCUUUAGGUUGGGACAAAGGGUGUUUGGGGAUAAUCCAGAUACUUUGAUGGUACCAACAGAAUAAGCACCGGCAAACUCUGUGCCAGCAGCCGCGGUAAUACAGAGGGUGCGAGCGUUAAUCGGAAUUACUGGGCGUAAAGGGCGCGUAGGCGGUUUAGUGAGUGUGAUGUGAAAGCCCUGGGCUUAACCUAGGAAGUGCAUCGCAAACGACUAAACUGGAGUAGAUGAGAGGGUGGCGGAAUUUCCGGUGUAGCGGUGAAAUGCGUAGAGAUCGGAAGGAACGUCAAUGGCGAAGGCAGCCACCUGGCAUCAUACUGACGCUGAGGCGCGAAAGCGUGGGGAGCGAACAGGAUUAGAUACCCUAGUAGUCC